UAAGAUAGUUAUCACAGCCGACGAAGUUC
rnacentral:sRNA from 1 species